UUUAUCUACAGUAGGGAUUUUUAAUUUUUACACGAUUGAAAGAACAGUCAAAAAUUGAAACUCUGUACUUAAUUAUUUUUGAGGUUAAUACGUAAGAGAUGAUAAAUAUUUUGUGAUAUUUAUAACUACGUUACGGAUUUUCACACAUUCAUGGGAAAUUCAAAGGCGUCAAAAUAUGUAUGCUAUCCAAAGUAGAGUAUUUAUUACAAUACUUGGUAAACGAAUGUAUAGGUUAAAGUGGAUAAUAAAUAUAAGAAAUGACCCGAGGGGUUGAAAAGUGGUCGCGUAGCAAAUAGAAUAUUGUGAACGGUGCUUAAAGAAGCUCCCUUCACCCGCGGUAUUAAUCGAACAUUCGUCUCUCCGUGGCCUUGUAGACACGUACUACAAGUACAGUAGUUGCAGUGGUUGCAUAAGGGGUUCUGUAUUAUCGAUAAUAAUCGUUGUGGAUAAAAAAGAACACGGACAAACUCUCGAGAUGGCUUUGUUUCAAGCAAUGAGGGUUUAUUGUAUGCCCGUUCCAAUUUCAACCAUCAUAGCGCACCGCGGUGCACUUCCUUUCGUUAGAGCCGAUUCCGCUUUAUAAAGCCGACAUCGUCAGCCUUCGAUGUGCACCGCGCGUUUCUCCUCGCUAAAAUAUAAACUGCACAAUGCAACCUAUUCUCUAGCCUGAUACGAUUAAAUCAAUUUCUUUCUAAUAAACUAAUAAGAUUGGGGUUAGAUUUUCACUAAUCAUUUCUGUUCGUCUAUUCAUCAGUAGCUUAUCAUUCAUUAAAAUUAUGAUAUAAUAAAAUAGUAUAAAUACUUCAAAUGCAAUAUGCUGGUAUAUACUAUAGUAUUGUAUUAUAGUGUAUUAUAUUAUAUAUAUAUAAAGUUAGAUGAACAAAAGAAAUAAUAAUGAAUGUACAAUUUCAAAUUAAAUUUUGAAACCGUUCAUUUGACCUGGUAAUGUUAGUGUUAAGUUAGUAUAGCAGCAUUAUUAUAGUCAAUAUAUUGAAACGUAUGAUGAUACCAAUGUAAAUAUUUUUAAUAUAAUAUAGUAAUAUAUAUUGUAAUA